CCUACGGGAGGCAGCAGUGGGGAAUAUUGCACAAUGGGCGCAAGCCUGAUGCAGCCAUGCCGCGUGUGUGAAGAAGGCCUUCGGGUUGUAAAGCACUUUCAGCGGGGAGGAAGGCGUUAAGGUUAAUAACCUUGGCGAUUGACGUUACCCGCAGAAGAAGCACCGGCUAACUCCGUGCCAGCAGCCGCGGUAAUACGGAGGGUGCAAGCGUUAAUCGGAAUUACUGGGCGUAAAGCGCACGCAGGCGGUCUGUCAAGUCGGAUGUGAAAUCCCCGGGCUCAACCUGGGAACUGCAUUCGAAACUGGCAGGCUAGAGUCGUGUAGAGGGGGGUAGAAUUCCAGGUGUAGCGGUGAAAUGCGUAGAGAUCUGGAGGAAUACCGGGGGCGAAGGCGGCCCCCUGGACAAAGACUGACGCUCAGGUGCGAAAGCGUGGGGAGCAAACAGGAUUAGUACCCGAGUAGUC
rnacentral:rRNA from 1 species